GACGAACGCUGGCGGCGUGCUUAACACAUGCAAGUCGAACGGAAAGGCCCUGCUUUUGUGGGGUGCUCGAGUGGCGAACGGGUGAGUAACACGUGAGUAACCUGCCCUUGACUUUGGGAUAACUUCAGGAAACUGGGGCUAAUACAGGAUAGGAGCUCCUGCUGCAUGGUGGGGGUUGGAAAGUUUCGGCGGUUGGGGAUGGACUCGCGGCUUAUCAGCUUGUUGGUGGGGUAGUGGCUUACCAAGGCUUUGACGGGUAGCCGGCCUGAGAGGGUGACCGGCCACAUUGGGACUGAGAUACGGCCCAGACUCCUACGGGAGGCAGCAGUGGGGAAUAUUGCACAAUGGGCGGGAGCCUGAUGCAGCAACGCCGCGUGCGGGAUGACGGCCUUCGGGUUGUAAACCGCUUUCGCCUGUGACGAAGCGUGAGUGACGGUAAUGGGUAAAGAAGCACCGGCUAACUACGUG
rnacentral:rRNA from 1 species